AGGCUGCAACUCGCCUACACGAAGCUGGAAUCGCUAGUAAUCGCGGAUCAGCACGCCGCGGUGAAUACGUUCCCGGGCCUUGUACACACCGCCCGUCACACCAUGAGAGUCUGUAACACCCAAAGCCGGUGGGAUAACCUUUAUAGGAGUCAGCCGUCUAAGGUAGGGCAGAUGAUUAGGGUGAAGUCGUAACAAGGUAGC
rnacentral:rRNA from 1 species